UGAACAGCCUUGCCAUAAAGAGAAUAAGAAAAAUGAAGUGACACCAGUUGGGGGGAAGUGGGACUAGGCAGCAUUUGGAUGACAGAAAAAAGAAAAACAAGACUAAUUAACAAUUCAAAGGCAGUUUGAUUUGUUUCUGAAACAUGCAGCUCAUAAUGCUGACCAAAGUGCCCUGUGAAAAUGACAUGGGAAGCAGAAGACCUAGAACCUGCCCAUAGAUAAUUUCCAUCAACAGAUAUGAAGACAAAGUACUUGGAAUGGUGACAGUAUGCACAUCUAGGUUCAGAUCCUCUGGUACAGCUGAGAUCGGCAGCAGACCAUUAGCAGGAUCAAGCAAAACUUGAAUUUUGAAAACAACAAAGAAAAUGAGAGCAGAGAAAAG